UAGUCCACACCGUAAACGAUGAAUGCCAGACGUCGGGGGCUUGCCCUUCGGUGUCACACCUAACGGAUUAAGCAUUCCGCCUGGGGAGUACGGUCGCAAGAUCAAAACUCAAAGGAAUUGACGGGGGCCCGCACAAGCAGUGGAGCAUGUGGUUUAAUUCGAAGCAACGCGCAGAACCUUACCAACCCUUGACAUCCUCAUCGCGGUUACCAGAGAUGGUUUCCUUCAGUUCGGCUGGAUGAGUGACAGGUGCUGCAUGGCUGUCGUCAGCUCGUGUCGUGAGAUGUUGGGUUAAGUCCCGCAACGAGCGCAACCCUUGUCUUUAGUUGCCAUCAUUCAGUUGGGCACUCUAAAGAGACUGCCGGUGACAAACCGGAGGAAGGUAAGGAUGACGUCAAGUCAGCAUGCCCCUUACGCCCUGGGCUACACACGUGCUACAAUGGUCGUGACAAAGGGUCGCUAAUCUGCAAAGACAUGCUAAUCUCAUAAACACGG
rnacentral:rRNA from 1 species